AUGGGUUGUAAGCUUGGCAAGCAGAUACAACUUCCAUAUCCCUCUAGUAAUUCUGUUUCUCAACGACCUUUUGAACUUGUUCACUCUGAUGUAUGGGGUCCUGCCCCCUUUGUUUCGAAAGGGGGUCACAAAUAUUAUAUAAUUUUCAUUGAUGAUUUCUCUCGCCACACUUGGAUCUACUUUAUGUCAUCUCGUAGUCAAGUGCUUCAAAUUUACAAGUCGUUUGCUACCAUGGUUCGCACUCAGUAUGAUUUCUCUGUUCGAGUUUUUCGUGCUGAUUCGGCUGGCGAGUACUUAUCUCGUGCGCUUCGUGGUUUCCUUGCUGAACAGGGUACCCUUCCUCAGUAUUCCUGUCCUGGUGCACACGCUCAAAAUGGGGUGGCUGAACGCAAACAUCGUCACGUCCUUGAGACUGCUCGGACUCUUCUUUUAUCUUCUGCUGUUCCCCCGCACUUUUGGGCUGAGGCUGUCUCUACCGCUGUUUAUCUCAUUAAUAUCCAGCCUUCUGUUGCUCUUCAGGGAGGGAUACCAGUUGAUCAUCUAGGUGAUGGUCCAGCUGAUUAUAGUGGUCUACGCCUGUUUGGUUGUGCCUGUUUUGUUCUUCUCCACCCUCAUGAACGCACCAAAUUGACUGCUCAAUCUGUUGAAUGUGUUUUCCUUGGCUACAGUUUGGAGCACAAAGGUUACCGUUGCUGGGACCCUAUUGCUCGAAGACUGAGAAUCUCCAAAGAUGUCACUUUUGAUGAGUCUCGCUCCUUCUACCCUCGUCAUUCUUCUACUGCCACAACCGAGUCGUUAGUCGAGCCUCUCUCUUUUUUGACUCUACCUGAUUCUUCACCUUUAUCGUCACCUGGUAGGUCCACUCCUAGCCUUUCACCUGUGUCUGCUCAUGAGCUUCAGCUUACACAGGAUGAGGUUUCUAUUCCUGACUCUCCUACUCGGGUUGAGCCAUCCACUCUCUCUCCUUUUCCUUUUACCUACUCCCGUCGUGCUCAACACCCUUCUCCCUCUGAUGCGCCACCUUCCACUUCCCCUCUCUCUCCGCUUCCUUUUGUCUACUCCCGUCGUGCUCGGCACCCUUCUCCCUCGGAUGCGCCCACUUCCACUUCCACUCCUUCCCUGUUGGGUCCCAUUCCUUCAGAACCACCUACCCCUCCUGCUCCUCGGUAUAAUCUGCGUGAUCGCCACACUCUCCAGCCUCCUGCGUACUAUGUUGCUGCUGCUACCACUCUUGUUGAGCCGUCUACGUAUCGUGAGGCUGCUGCUCAUUCUGAAUGGCAGCAUGCUAUGGCAGAGGAAAUUCAUGCUCUUGAGCGCACAGGCACUUGGGACCUUGUACCCCUGCCUACAGGCAUUAGACCCAUCACUUGCAAAUGGGUCUACAAGGUUAAGACACAUUCAGAUGGUUCUCUCGUGCGCUAUAAAGCUCGUCUUGUUGCGCGUGGCUUCCAGCAGGAGUAUGGUCGUGACUAUGAUGAGACUUUUGCUCCUGUUGCUCACAUGACCACUGUUCGCACUCUUUUGGUUGUUGCUGCUGUUCGGCGGUGGUCCAUCUCUCAAUUAGAUGUCAAGAAUGCCUUCUUGAAUGGUGAGCUGCGGGAAGUGGUCUAUAUGCAGCCGCCUCCUGGCUAUACUGUCUCUGAUGGCACUGUCUGUCGCCUUCGGCGCGCUCUUUACGGGCUGAAACAAGCUCCUCGUACCUGGUUUGAGCGUUUCUCCGCCGUCAUCACAAGGAUCGGGUUCUCUGCUAGUGUUCAUGAUCCUGCUCUGUUUAUUCACACUUCUCGCGGUCGCACCCUUUUACUACUCUAUGUUGAUGACAUGAUUAUCACAGGGGCUGACCACCAAUUCAUUGAUUUUGUGAAGAAACGUCUACAUGAGCAAUCUUGA
rnacentral:rRNA from 1 species